UACAGGGGGUGCAAACGUUGCUCGGAAUUAUUGGGCGUAAAGCGCGCGUAGGCGGCCACUUAAGUCGGAUGUGAAAGCCCCUGGCUCAACUGGGGAAGUGCACCCGAAACUGAAUGGCUUGAAUGCAAAAGAGGGUCGCGGAAUUCCCGGUGUAGAGGUGAAAUUCGUAGAUAUCUGGAGGAACACCGGUGGCGAAGGCGGCAUCCUGGACCGGCAUUGACGCUGAGGCGCGAAAGCCAGGGGAGCAAACGGG
rnacentral:rRNA from 1 species